rnacentral:rRNA from 1 species
CCUACGGGAGGCAGCAGUGAGGAAUCUUGGUCAAUGGACGAGAGUCUGAACCAGCCAAGUAGCGUGAAGGAUGACUGCCCUAUGGGUUGUAAACUUCUUUUAUAUGGGAAUAAAACGUUUAACGUGUGGGUUUUUGUAUGUACCAUAUGUAUACGGAUCGGCUAACUCCGUGCCAGCAGCCGCGGUAAUACGGAGGAUCCGAGCGUUAUCCGGAUUUAUUGGGUUUAAAGGGAGCGUAGGUGGAUUGUUAAGUCAGUUGUGAAAGUUUGCGGCUCAACCGUAAAAUUGCAGUUGAAACUGGCAGUCUUGAGUACAGUAGAGGUGAGCGGAAUUCGUGGUGUAGCGGUGAAAUGCUUAGAUAUCACGAAGAACUCCGAUUGCGAAGGCAAUUCACUGGACUGCAACUGACACUGAGGCUCGAAAGUGUGGGUAGCGAACAGGAUUAGAUACCCGUGUAGUC